rnacentral:rRNA from 1 species
UACGGAGGGUGCGAGCGUUGUCCGGAAUCAUUGGGCGUAAAGGGCGCGUAGGUGGCCCGGUAAGCGUGCGGUGAAAGCUCGGGGCUCAACCCCGAGUCGGCCGUGCGAACUGCUGGGCUUGAGCACUGUAGAGGCAGGCGGAAUUCCGGGUGUAGCGGUGGAAUGCAUAGAGAUCCGGAAGAACACCGGUGGCGAAGGCGGCCUGCUGGGCAGUAGCUGACACUGAGGCGCGACAGCGUGGGGAGCAAACAGG